rnacentral:rRNA from 1 species
GACGGACCGUCGAAACGUUAUUCGGGAUCACUGGGCUUAAAGGGUGCGUAGGCGGUCCCGUAAGUCGGGUGUGAAAACCCUCGGCUCAACCGAGGAAGUGCGCCCGAAACUGCGGGGCUAGAGGGAGGUAGAGGCGAGUGGAACUUGCGGUGGAGCGGUGAAAUGCGUUGAUAUCGCAAGGAACACCGGUGGCGAAGGCGGCUCGCUGGGCCUUCCCUGACGCUGAGGCACGAAAGCUAGGGGAGCGAACGGG